UGUGUUUUCAUCUGAGUUGUGGAAUUGCUAUUUGAAUAUUGCCUUGUUUAUAAAAAUAAAAGGUGAAGCAUAACUAGUUAUCCAUCAAGUUUUAAUCAACAGUAAAUACUAAGCCUCCAUCAAAGCAGUUGCUGACUUUGCUCAAGGUUAAAGGAAGUAUGCUGAAAAGAGAUAACUGCAGUUGAAGUGCUUGCCUGAGCCUCUCAGAUUUUUUGUGCGUGGGGAAUUGCACUCAUUAUUCCCUUUCUUCCUGUCUGCGUAAUACCUGGGAACAAUUGACUCCAUGUAAUGCCACUCCCUUCAUACUAGUUACUGAACCUUUCACUGCAAAGGAGACUUUUAAGCAGUUUAUUUGGAUUUUUUCAUAUGGUGAUUUUCAUGUUUCUGUCUUAAGCUUUUAAACAAGUUGAUGUUAGAAGACUAUUCAGAUGUUGGGGUGGCAUGGCGUCAUUGUUAUAUUUGUGUUUCUAUGUGAGUGACUCCAGUUAGAGUGAAAAUUUCAGUGCAUACAAAAGUGAAAGCCUCUUAAAUGUCUCUCAUGUCCCUGACCACUUCCUGAAGAACCUGCCACAUGGGCCCCAACACGAGAUUUAAACUGGGUUCCUCUGCUGCUAAAGAGGCAGACUGCACAUUUAUUUCCUCAAUGUUGUGUGAACUUGAUUGGUCAGUAACCUUAGUUGUAAAAUUUCCAACACAUGGUUCUGAAAUAUUACACAUUAGGGAGUGGGGCUAGAACUUAACUGAGGCUUAAAAAUAAUCUUGGAGUUUUCUUGUUUACAUGAUUGAAUGCUUUGAAAUCUAUUAGAGCAUGCGUUCUGAUUCUUAAAUGCACAAGUUACAAAAAAAAAAACCUGAGCUUGUCAGAUCAGCUACAACCACCAGUCUAAUAAAACUGACUCAUAUCCAAAUGGCUGCGCUCACACUACCCUCCCAUUCUAGGGAAAAUGUGGCCGGGGGAGGCAGUGUGAGUCAUCACCUGGUUUGUUUGACAUAGGCUUCCUUCCAUAAAUUGGGAAUGGCAAGCAGCACAGCGCUCUGAGCUUGCCUCAGAGAAAUAGCUAUUGCAGCUUUGCUUGAGCAAAAUAGACAUCUGCUUUGGAAAGAUGAAGCUGAGUCUAUGUUUUGACUUCAGAAGUCAGGGAACGGGGAGAAGAAAUGGACAGACCCAAACAAGGAACACUUACUUGAAUGAAACGCAGAUAAGUCGUUAGAAAACUUUCAUAGGAAAAGUGCCUCGUGUGAUCAGAACAAAGCUGUUUUAUAAUCACAUUUACCAAGCUGAGAAGGAGUUUCAGCGAACGGAAGCUGCAGUGUUCUGUCACCAGGAAACACUGCAUUUUCCAGAGUCGAUCUUUUAAAAAUACUCAUUCAAAUUCUUCUCAACGAAUCAGAGCGGCUGGUAUCUUUUAGUCACAAAGACAUUGAAGAUAGUAUGUGAAUUGUGACGUCUGCAUUGCUGAACUGGCUGUGAAAACCCUUCCCCCGUCAGCAUGGGCACAAUCCAGCAUCUACAACUAAAUUGAGGCCAGAAAAAGAAUGCUGUUAUCAAGAUGUGACAGGGUACUGAGCUGCUUCUGACAAAAUACAUGCCCUUCUGACCAGCUGAAGAACUGGAUUCAUUUUUACUAUGUCAGUAACAACCCGUUGAGCAGCAAAUACUUGAUUGAGCCUGGCUUAUUUCUGUUCUCCCAAAAUCUUUAUCUCAAAGAAUCUGAACAAUCGAUGGUGUUCCACCAUCUCACUGCAUCGUUAGUUCCCUGAAAGUGCACCCCCAGAUUUAUUGAACUGUCCACUACUGCUAAGUAGUCCUUCUGAAAGCAGAAGAGCCCCUGUAUAAUGGAAGUGACAAGCAAUUUAGACAUUGAGCUCAAGCAUGGCUUUCUAUGGUGUGAGGAAGAAGAGAAUGGAAAUUGUUUCUAAGAUAUACAAGUUUUACAAUGUGGUUUGUUUGCCUAUUCUUCUGAUAAAUUUAAAUACAAUGGAUAUUUUUUAAAGUAUCAAUUCUGGCUUAAAUUCUCAGUUGGGGGAAUAGAAGUUUUAAAGGGAAAUUUGUUAAUUGUUUAUACUAUUUUACACUAAUGAUUUAAGUAAAACAGAAACGGAAUACAGGUGAUGUAAAGAUCAAUUAAUCUAAUUAAUCACCAGUGAUGGCAAUACGUGUUUUUGUCCCCUCAUGCUGAAUUCAAUGGAAAUAAAGCUUAGAAUUUUUAAAA